UGGGGAAUUUUGGACAAUGGGCGAAAGCCUGAUCCAGCAAUGCCGCGUGUGCGAAGAAGGCCUUCGGGUUGUAAAGCACUUUUGUCCGGAAAGAAAUCCGUCUGGCUAAUACCCGGAUGGGAUGACGGUACCGGAAGAAUAAGCACCGGCUAACUACGUGCCAGCAGCCGCGGUAAUACGAAGGGUGCAAGCGUUACUCGGAAUUACCGGGCGUAAAGCGUGCGUAGGUGGUUGUUUAAGUCUGAUGUGAAAGCCCUGGGCUCAACCUGGGAAUGGCAUUGGAAACUGGGCAGCUAGAGUGCGGUAGAGGGUAGUGGAAUUCCCGGUGUAGCAGUGAAAUGCGUAGAGAUCGGGAGGAACAUCUGUGGCGAAGGCGACUGCCUGGACCAGCACUGACACUGAGGCACGAAAGCGUGGGGAGCAAACA
rnacentral:rRNA from 1 species